rnacentral:rRNA from 1 species
AUUGAACGCUGGCGGCAGGCCUAACACAUGCAAGUCGAACGAGCGGCGGACGGGUGAGCAAUGUCUGGGAAACUGCCUGAUGGAGGGGGAUAACGACUGGAAAAGGUAGCCUAUAUCGCAUACCAUCGGAUGUGCCCAGAGGGGAUGAGCUAGUAGGUGGGGUAAAGGCUCACAUAGGCGACGAGCCCUAGCUGGUCUGAGAGGAUGACCAGCAACACUGGAACUGAGACACGGUCCAGACUCCUACGGGAGGCAGCAGUGGGGAAUAUUGCACAAGGGGCGAAAGCCUGAUGCAGCCAUGCCGCGUGUAUGAAGAAGGCCUUCGGGUUGUAAAGUACUGUCAGCAGGGAGGCGGUACCCGCAGAAGAAGCACCGGCUAACUCCGUGCCAGCAGCCGCGGUAAUUC